CCUACGGGAGGCAGCAGUAGGGAAUCUUCCACAAUGGGCGCAAGCCUGACCCAGCAACGCCGCGUGAAGGAAGAAGGCUUUCGGGUUGUAAACUUCUUUUAAGGGGGAAGAGCAGAAGACGGUACCCCUUGAAUAAGCCACGGCUAACUACGUGCCAGCAGCCGCGGUAAUACGUAGGUGGCAAGCGUUGUCCGGAUUUACUGGGUGUAAAGGGCGUGCAGCCGGAGAGACAAGUCAGAUGUGAAAUCCACGGGCUCAACCCGUGAACUGCAUUUGAAACUGUUUCCCUUGAGUGUCGGAGAGGUAAUCGGAAUUCCUUGUGUAGCGGUGAGAUGCGUAGAUAUAAGGAAGAACACCAGUGGCGAAGGCGGAUUACUGGACGAUAACUGACGGUGAGGCGCGAAAGCGUGGGGAGCAAACAGGAUUAGAUACCCGAGUAGUC
rnacentral:rRNA from 1 species